rnacentral:rRNA from 1 species
UACGUAGGGUGCAAGCGUUGUCCGGAAUUAUUGGGCGUAAAGAGCGUGUAGGCGGUCAGGUAGGUCCGUUGUGAAAACUCGAGGCUCAACCUCGAGACGCCGAUGGAAACCAUCUGACUAGAGUCCGGAAGAGGAGAGUGGAAUUCCUGGUGUAGCGGUGAAAUGCGCAGAUAUCAGGAAGAACACCCGUGGCUAAGGCGGCUCUCUAGUACGGUACUGACGCUGAGACGCGAAAGCGUGGGAGGCGAACAGGAUAGAUA